GGCGUAAGCAGGGCUGCCACACUGAGUGUUCAGAAGCUCCAGAGAGAGAGAGUCUGCCUUCAGAGUGUUACUCAGACCAAAGUCUACACACAAACACACUCGCAUAUGUUUUUUUAAUUAGACAUUCAAGAAUAAAUCAUACAGAUUUCAGAAGCCUAAAAUGAAAUACAUGAAUAAAAGGAUGAAAGAGACAUUGGUUGAUGCUAUUACUUAUGAUAUUUCUCAUUGUAGGAAGUUUUCAAUCUUCAAGUCCCUAGUUAAAAAACAAUAUUCAGAGAUGAAG